GAGGGUCUUGGAGCUGAGAGAUGCAGCAAUGGCGUCCUUGAGGGUCGAUUGUUUGAUCGGAUUUGAUGGGCUGAGCUCAGAGUUGGCUUCGACGCUCAUCCAGCUAGGGUUUCGAAGUCUUCUCUGAUUUCAUCUGGAUGGGACUUUUCUUCUACCUCUUUUCUUGAUUCGGUUUUGAGUUUCAAUUUGUGGCAAUAGAUGAAGUUCAUUGCUUCAGAAAUCGUCGUAUUUGAACAUUGAAAUUUUCUUUUUAAGUGUUUUUAAUUUGGGAUUCUUUCAGGAUUUGAUUAUAUUAGUUUGUUUUUGCUUUCUUUCUUGAAUAGCCUUUUUUUUCCACUUUUCAGGAAAAGAAUGAUGCCUUUCUUGAUGAAUUCUUGCUGUGGAUUUGAUAUGAUAACUUGAAGAAUGUUGUGAGAGGUGCUACAACACAAUUUGUGUUGACAAACUUUGGUGGAAAUGCUGAUUUACCUGUCUGUCCCAAUGGUUUAAUGUACUCAGAGUCGUUUCCGGUUCCUUCAUUGGGAAAAUUACUGUAGGAAAAUUAAUGAGAUUGGAGAACGUGGCCCCAAAGAUAUUAACUUGUGAUGAAAGCCUAGCAAGUUAUUUAGAUAGCCUGGUAAAACAUCGGGUAAGCUCAUAAUGUGUUGUUUUGAAUUGUUUGUUAAUCAUGGAGGUCUAAUUAUUUGCUGUAAUUGUUUAUGACUAUGUUCAUAUCUUUGAUGAGGAAAAUGAUUUGUAUGAAAGCCCUUACCUUUCCACCACACAAACAUAUUCUAUUUCGUUUGCAUA